rnacentral:rRNA from 1 species
CACACCGCCCGUCACACCAUGGGAGUCAGUUGUACCGGAAGUCCGGUGUUUCCAACCCGCAAGGGAGAUACGCCCGCCCGAUGGUAUGGCUGGUGACUGGGGUCGG